GGCGGACGGGUGAGUAACACGUGAGUAACCUGCCUUUGACACAGGGAUAGCCAUGGGAAACCGUGAUUAAUACCAGAUGAAAUCUAAACUACACAUGUAGCAAAGAUCAAAGCGAAUAAGCGGUCAAAGAUGGACUCGCGCCUGAUUAGCUAGUUGGUGAGAUAAAAGCUCACCAAGGCAACGAUCAGUAGCCGGCCUGAGAGGGUGACCGGCCACAUUGGAACUGAGACACGGUCCAAACUCC
rnacentral:rRNA from 1 species